GCGUGAGAUGCCCUAAGAUACGUUGAGGGCCCAACCAUUCAAAUCAGCAGCGGAGCGAGUCUUAGAGAAUCAGGAGAAAAGGAGAUGGGAGGCAGCAAGAAAGGACCCUCUUCCCCGCUCACCCUCCAACGGAUCUCGAAUCAGCAGUCACGUGGUCUUAGGAUCCCGGUAGAUGAAGUCUCAACUUGUCCACUGACUCAAAGCCAGCUAAUUGAAGUGAUGAGGUGCACAGCCUUGAGGAAGUAUCCACGACAUCAUCACAACUGUGUACUUCACUCUGUUCCUGAAGAGGCUCUCGAUCCCUCCACCCUGCAGGACAGCUCUCCACUGCGAUGGAGAGGUCAACUUCUGUUUUUAAAGUAUAUUGUUGCUGUCUUCAGACACACCAGAAGAGGGCAUCAGAUGUCAUUACAGAUGGUUGUGAGCCACCAUGUGGUUGCUGGGAUUUGAACUCAAAACCUCUGGAAGAACAGUCAGUGCUCUUAACCACUGAGCCACCUCUCUCCGGCCCAAGAGAGGUCAACUUUCUGACAGUCGACGGAAGAAACACCUUUGUAGGUUCUUUCAUAGAUGAGUCUUGACUCUAGACCAUGUAUGGAGUCUUGACUCUAGACCAUCUUUAGAUCAGUUAUGUAGUUAUUUUCCUUUAUCCCGACUACAUAAUUAGAAUAACUAUUAUUGAUACAGAAGUACCUUUUUUAAAAAAAUUAACAUUAGACUUGCGAGGAAGAACAAAAAUGCUAAUGACUGCCCUGGGAAAUUCCUUAAAGCUGCCACCACCCUUUGCCAAGAUAGUAACACACCUUCAGGGAAAUAGCAAACCUGACUGCAAAAGACCCAAACACUUCAGGGUGACGGUCUCCAGUGUAUCACAGAUUAAUUCUUGAUCUGGAAAAACAGACACUGUGGGGAAAGCUUGGAGUGCUGUGCAAAUUGGUGGCAUACACAGACCAACAUUCAACUGAUUUUUGAUGAAAGUGCUAAGAAGACACAUUAAAGAAACACCGUCCUUUCAGUGAAUGCUGCUAAGAGCUAGUUACCUUGUAUAUACACAUGCAGACAAAUGGAAGUAUAAGUCAAUCUCUCAUGGUUCAAAAAAAAAAAAAGAUGAAAGGCUUACAUGUAGCACUUAAACUAUGGCUGUCCUAGAAGGAAAUAUGGUGGGAAUGUGUCAAGACAAGGCAACGGAUUUUUAAAUAAAGCUCCAAAUCACAAGAGGCAAGCAGACAAGUAGCCUUCUCUUCAACUAAAAAGACCCAGCAAAACAACAGCCAACAAUGAGAAGAGGAAUCUACAGCACAGGAGAAAGUACUUAUGCACUAUUCACCUAACAAGAACUUAAUAUGUAGGAUUUAUAAAAGAUUAAAAGUCAAUAAUCAAACUUAAAUGAUCUGUUUUAACAAUGGAUAAUAGUCAUAAGUUGGCAUUUUGACAAGAGAAGACACAGAAGUUAUUAUUAGGGGAAAAUGCUCAAGACCAAAUUAUUGGAGAAGUACAAUUCAGAGCAAUGGUGGGCUUACUUUCCUCCAGUUAGAAUGCUAUCAUCAUCAUCAUCAUCAUCAUCAUCAUCAUCAUCAUUAAUUUUAAAACUGAAAGAAACAAGAGUUGGUGUGAAUGUGGACAACAGGGAACUCUUUCUGAUGGAAAUUAUGGAAACCAUUAUGGAAAAAUGGUAGCUCCUUAAAUAAUUAUAAUCAAAAGAUCUGGCAGUUCCACUGUUGAAUGUAUGUAUAUUCAGGGAUACAGAAUCAGUAUGCUGAAGACAUCUGCUCUCACAUGACUGCAAUGCCGUUCACAACAGGCAAGAAGUGGAAACAAGCUAAGGAUGCAUUAGUCGAUGAAUGGACUUUAAAAUGUGUCUGUACCCGCAAUGGGUACUAUUAGGCUGUGAAGAUAACAGAAACCUGGCCUUUGCAGUGACACAGAUGGGCUGGACAUCAUUGCUAAACGGAGCCGGUGCAGCACGGAACUGUGAGCAUCAUAGGCUCUCGCUCCUGUGUGUACUGAAGAAGUGUUGUUCUCAUAGAAGAUGCAAGGAUGAGCAGAGUCGUCCAGUGAGGACCAAGGCACAGUUAGAUGGCAGAAGAAGGUUCUGGUGUACUCUGGCACGGCAGGGUGAAUAUCGUCCACAGCAGUGCAUUUUAAAAAUCUAAGAGAAAGUAUUUUGAGUGUUUGCAUCAUGAAGUAAAUGAUGCGUGUCUGAGGAGAGAGCAGUUUCUAACCUGACAAACAUUAUGUAAACCGCUAUGUAUCAAAACAUUGUAUUUUCCAACGAAUGCACAUGAAUGCAAUGCAUAUGUGGCAGGUUUAAAAAUUAACUUUAAUCCACAGGGACUAUUUUUUAAAAGAAAACAAACUGGAGCGCAACAGUACUUCAGUGUGGUUUCAAUUUAUGUGUCUCUGACAAUUGCUCACGUUUCAGUUUAAUUCAGUUGAUUAUUACUGAAGCAACUGGAAACCCACUCAUCCAAGAGAAGCCAGCAUUCUGUAUGUUACUCGUCACUUGUUACAGCAACCAAUGUGGGUUCAUGUGGUUAUUUGAAUGGGAAAUGUCCUCCAUGGCUCAGGUGUUUGAACACAUGGUCCAGCUGAUGUUGCAGAUUGGGAAAACUUAGGGCUGGCCUCGCUGGAGGAAUGGCUUCCCUGUGGGAGGACUUUGAAAGGAUAUAGCCUCACCCCAUUUCCAGUUUUCAUCUUGACUUCAAGCUGGCACUGGAGGACGUGAGCUACCAGCUUCCAGAUCCUGUUGCCUUGACUGCCUUCCACCGUGAUGGACUCUUAAUGCCUCUGGCACCAUAGCCAAAACAAACCCUUUCUUCUAGAAGAUGCUUCGGUCCUAGUGUUUUGUUACAGCAGCAGUUCAGAAACUAAUACAUCCCGUGAUCAAAUGCUUGCUUGGUCUUUCAGACUGGUAGCAUCAUCUCCUGUGGUAGGUGUGGUAAUGGCCACGGUUGGAGAUUUGGAUGUCCCAGUCUCACGUGUUGGGCAAUUGUUUCUUGCUGGCGGUAUUUGGGAAGGUUUAGGAAUUUAGGAGGUGAGACGUAUUUGCAAGAAGUAUAUCACUGAAGAGUGACUGUGAAGGCUGGUCUCCAGUCCUCAUCCUCACUCUGUGCUUCCCACCUCCUAUGAAGUGAAGAACCACUUCUGCCACACACUCAGUCCUCCAUGACUCUUGGCUUCUUCAGGGGACCAGAGUCAAUGAAUCUAAGAGCUAUGGACAUAAAAACAUAAUGGCAUGAGAUAAAAUAAAUAGUUCUUGGAUCUGACAUUUGUUGUUAGAUGUCAUCAAUUUCACCCCCCAUCCUCCCUUAUCUCCACCCCCAUGGCCAGCUUAGUACCUUUUGUAACCAUGAAAACUACCAAGCCAAGAGAAAGUUUUCAGGUCACUUCCAGCUGGAUUUUUCUAUGUCCU
rnacentral:lncRNA from 1 species